rnacentral:rRNA from 1 species
UAGCCGUAAACGAUACUCGCUAGGUGUCGGCCACGGUGCGACCGUUGUCGGUGCCGUAGGGAAGCCGUGAAGCGAGCCACCUGGGAAGUACGGCCGCAAGGCUGAAACUUAAAGGAAUUGGCGGGGGAGCACAACAGCGGGUGGGAGCUUGCGGGUUUAAAUUUGGAUUCAACGCCGGAAAUCUUACCGGGACCGACAGCAGCAUGAAGGCCAAGCUGAAGACUUUGCCGGAUUAGCUGAGAGGAGGUGCAUGGCGUAGUCGUGU